UUUGCUAUAAAUGUAAAUGUAUGUUGAAAUUUAAUGAUUUUAUGAUUAUAAAUGAUUUUACGAAAUUUGUGUUUAAAGUAAGUUGCCAUCGCAACUUUGGUAAGUAUGUGAAUUAUGAGCACCACUGAGUUUUAUACUCAGCGCGUCGAUUUUUAUCACGCGUAGGUUGAAGAUCGUGGUUGCUAUUUGAAGAUUUGAAGAGCAGAAGUGACUAAUUUGGUAGUAGUCGAUUGAGAUUUAUUUAAUGA
rnacentral:lncRNA from 1 species